AACGAACGCUGGCGGCGUGCCUAACACAUGCAAGUCGAACGGAAUGAGGGGCUUGCUCCUCAUUUAGUGGCGCACGGGUGAGUAACGCGUAGAUAAUCUGCUUGAUGAUCUGGAAUAACAUUUCGAAAGAGGUGCUAAUACCGGAUAAGCCCACGACGGCCUUGGUCGACGCGGGAAAAGGGGGGGACCAUUUGGCCUUCCGUCAUCAGAUGAGUCUGCGUACCAUUAGCUAGUUGGUGGGGUAAAGGCCUACCAAGGCGACGAUGGUUAGCUGGUCUGAGAGGAUGAUGAGCCACACUGGAACUGAGACACGGUCCAGACUCCUACGGGAGGCGGCAGUGGGGAAUUUUGCGCAAUGGGCGAAAGCCAGACGCAGCAACGCCGCGUGAGUGAUGAAGGCUUUCGGGUCGUAAAGCUCUGUCAAGGGGAAAGAAGUGUAGUGUGGUUAAUACCCAUGCUACUUGACGGUACCCCUAAAGGAAGCACCGGCUAACUCCGUGCCAGCAGCCGCCGUAACAC
rnacentral:rRNA from 1 species